CCUACGGGAGGCAGCAGUGGGGAAUAUUGCGCAAUGGGCGAAAGCCUGACGCAGCGACGCCGCGUGAGGGAUGAAGGUCUUCGGAUCGUUAACCUCUGUCAGCAGGGAAGAACGGUCACUGUGCUAUUCAGCAGUGAAUUGACGGUACCUGCAAAGAAAGCAUCGGCUAACUCCGUGCCAGCAGCCGCGGUAAUACGGAGGGUGCGAGCGUUAAUCGGAAGUACUGGGCGUAAAGCGCUACUAGCCGGUAUGUCAAGUCAAGGGUGAAGUCCCCGCGCUCAACGUGGGAACUGCCUUUGAAACUGGCAGACUGGAGUGGGUGAGAGGAUAGUGGAAUUCGAGGUGUAGGAGUGAAAUCCGUAGAUAUCUGGAGGAACAUCAGUGGCGAAGGCGACUAUCUGGCACAUAACUGACGCUGAGGAGCGAAAGCGUGGGUAGCAAACAGGAUUAGAUACCCUAGUAGUC
rnacentral:rRNA from 1 species